AUUGAACGCUGGCGGCAGGCCUAACACAUGCAAGUCGAACGAGUCGCGGACGGGUGAGUAAUGUCUGGGCAACUGCCUGAUGGAGGGGGAUAACUACUGGAAACGGUAGCUAAUACCGCAUACCAUCAGAUGUGCCGAGAUGGGAUGAGUGAGGUGGUGGGGUAACGGAUCACCAAGGCGACGAUCCGUAGCUGGGCUGAGAGGAUGACCAGCAACACUGGAACUGAGACACGGUCCAGACUCCUACGGUAGGGAGCAGUGGGGAAUAUGGGAAAAUGGGCGCAAGCCUGAGGCAGCCAUGCCGCGUGUGUGAAGAAGGUCUUCGGAUUGUAAAGCUAUUUAAGUUGGGAGGCGUUACCAACAGAAUAAGCACCGGCUAACUCCGUGCCAGCAGCCGCGGUAAUAC
rnacentral:rRNA from 1 species